CCUACGGGAGGCAGCAGUGAGGAAUAUUGGUCAAUGGGCAGAAGUCUGAACCAGCCAAGUAGCGUGCAGGAUGACGGCCCUACGGGUUGUAAACUUCUUUUAUACGGGAAUAACACGCCUUACGUGUGGGACUUUGCAUGUACCAUAUGAAUAAGGAUCGGCUAACUCCGUGCCAGCAGCCGCGGUAAUACGGAUGGUCCGGGCGUUAUCCGGAUUUAUUUGGUUUAAAGGGAGCGUAGGUGGAUGGUUAAGGACGUUGUGAAAGUUUCGGGCUCAACCCGAAAAUUGCAGGUGAAACUGGCAGUCUUGAGUAGAGUAGAAGUGGGCGGAAGUCGUGGUGUAGCGGUGAAAUGCUUAGAUAUCACGAAGAACGCCGAUUGCGAAGGCAGCUCACUGGACCGCAACUGACACUGAGGCUCGAAAGUGUGGGUAUCAAACAGGAUUAGAUACCCCUGUAGUC
rnacentral:rRNA from 1 species